AUGAAGCCGAGAUUCGUCGUCUAUGAGACUGCCGUUGCGGCCCCUUCCACCACCGGUCUCUUUCCGGCCGCUUCCACUCAACACCGCUCCUCACUGUCGGCAAGGCAACUCCCAAUAACCUUCUUCCCCCGCCCAUCUCCUCGUCGUUCCACCUAUAACUCGCCGCCGAACACGCUCCAAACAGCACCACGUCACCACCGUCUCAUCAGAUCUCGCCGGCCGUCCUCUUCAUAUACCACGACCAAACCGUUGGUCAAGUUAAUUUACAUGUGUCAUUUGAAUUAA